GGAAGGCCAUGGCCUGAGUGUAUAGGCCUAGUAAAAAUGUGGAUGAGAUUAACCCAAUGCUCGCAGAAACUGACACCAUUUGAAAUUGUACAUGGUAGACCUUUUCCUCUGCUCAUCACCAGUGAACCAAUAGACAAGUCAGUCAGAGAAACAACCCUAGCAGAAUGGAUGACAAAACUGCUAGAGAACAAAGAAAUAGUUCUGAGCAACCAACUGCCGAAUGAUUCUUCUCCAGUCUCUUCCAGGUUGAAACCAGGCGACUGGAUCCUGAUCAAGGUACUCCAGAGGAAAAACUGGAGCUCUCCGAGGUGGGAGGGCCCUUUUCAGGUCCUGCUAACGACGCCAACAGCGUGCAAGAUCGCUGAAAGACCUUCGUGGAUCCACCAGAGCCACGCCAAAGAAGUACAAGGGGACACAAGCCCAGACGCCAGUCCACCUAUCAUCUAGUGAUCUGUGAGUGGAGGAGAGGGCAGAUUGGGUAUACCCCGCCCUCUUGACUUCUCGCUUUCAGUCAACACACUAGGUGAUCUGGUGAACUUGGUCGACCUGAAGAAACCCCAUUGUAGCCCGAGCACCGACCUAGCCCCACCUGCCCGGUAGAGUAAAGGAAGAUCAGUCCAACCUGCAAAACCAGAAGAGCAACCCAUCACUCAAAUGGAGAGGACCCAGUCCCCAACAGGACUCGACGACGAUGCAUAAUUAUGUACCUCAUAACAAAAUUGAAAUGGCAUUCUUUGUAAACCUACUACAAACUCUAGAAACAGUAAUGAAUACAAGUCUGCGUGCAUGUGCUCCAAAAGAACCAAUAAAGAACUUAACAACACUUCCGGUCACACCGCCCGAACUAGCCCAUAACAUGACCAUGGUCUGCCUAUGGAGACUUAGAGUCCCAGAAAAGCAGGGUGUAUCUUUUGUUUAUCCAAAUAAGACACUGCAACCGGAAUCUUCCUGGCACAAGCUUAUAGCCCGAUAGCAACUGAAGAAGAAGAAGACUGUGUGUAAGAAUUUCUUGUACUUAACAUGACGUAGCAAUUGAAAAUGUGCAAACAAGUGAUUGUCUACUGAAGCCUAUGAAGUAUGAGUGAAAUAUAUUAACAACAGGAGGGAAUGUUAUGAGAUUCUAUGUUUUUAUGUGUUUUAUUCUUUGUUUUAUUAUCUUUUAAUAUUCAAGCAUAUUGUAAAGUGUUUAUAUAUUUCACAGAAUUUGCUGUACUUCCCCAUGUCACAAGAUUCGAUGUAUUGCUCCAUUGUCAUGCAACCCGACAGUGAACUCUGCAAUACAUAUAGUUUAAGCAGGAAACAGAUGCGGGUCACCCAGACUACAAUAGAAAACGGAUGAGGCACCUAAACCACAACAGGAAAACAGAUGCGCGACUCCCUAACCACAAAAGAUUAAGUCAGCGCCACGUCUUUUAGAAAGAAGCACACACACACACAUAUACAACUGUUGGUUUAAAGGAAUUUGUAAAGAGGAAAUGUGACGUAUUUGCAUACGCGAUGUAACCUAUAAAUAAAGAACUGUGCCUGCACUCAGGGUGUGGGUCUCGCCAGAGUCCUCACCCGUGCGUGAGUCU
ensembl:lncRNA